rnacentral:tRNA from 1 species
AAUAAAAUGCCUGAAAAAGGGUUACUUUGAUAGAGUGAAUCAUGUAUAAUUUUUAUACUUUUAUUA